rnacentral:piRNA from 1 species
GCAGAAGACAGGAAAUAGUCAAACUCA